GAUCUGAAAUCAGGUAGGGCUACCCGCUGAACUUAAGCAUAUCAAUAAGCGGAGGAAAAGAAACUAACAAGGAUUCCCCUAGUAACGGCGAGUGAAGCGGGAAGAGCUCAAAUUUAAAAUCUAGUUUGCUUGCAAACUCGAGUUGUAGUCUGAAGAAACGUUUUCCAUGGAAGCUGAGGCACAAGUCCUUUGGAACAGGGCAUCAUAGAGGGUGAGAAUCCCGUCCAUGGUCUCAAGUCUUUCAUUUUGUGAUACGUUUUCUAAGAGUCAGGUUGUUUGGGAAUGCAGCCUAAAAUGGGUGGUAAAUUUCAUCUAAAGCUAAAUAUUGGCGAGAGACCGAUAGCGAACAGGUACCGUGAGGGAAAGAUGAAAAGAACUUUGAAAAGAGAGUUAAAAAGUACGUGAAAUUGUUGAAAGGGAACCGUUUGAAGCCAG
rnacentral:rRNA from 1 species